rnacentral:rRNA from 1 species
AAUAUUGCGCAAUGGGCGAAAGCCUGACGCAGCAACGCCGCGUGCGGGAUGAAGGCCUUCGGGUUGUAAACCGCUUUCAGCAGGGAAGAAGCGAAAGUGACGGUACCUGCAGAAGAAGCACCGGCUAACUACGUGCCAGCAGCCGCGGUAAUACGUAGGGUGCAAGCGUUGUCCGGAUUUAUUGGGCGUAAAGAGCUCGUAGGCGGUUAGUCACGUCGGAUGUGAAAACCCAGUGCUUAACACUGGGCCUGCAUUCGAUACGGGCUGACUAGAGUGUUGUAGGGGAGACUGGAACUCCUGGUGUAGCGGUGAAAUGUGCAGAUAUCAGGAAGAACACCGGUGGCGAAGGCGGGUCUCUGGGCAACUACUGACGCUGAGGAGCGAAAGCGUGGGGAGCAAACAGGAUUAGAUACCCUGGUAGUCCACGCCGUA